UACGUAGGGGGCUAGCGUUGUCCGGAAUCAUUGGGCGUAAAGAGCGUGUAGGCGGCUCGGUAAGUCCGCUGUGAAAGUCCAGGGCUCAACCCUGGAAUGCCAGUGGAAACUGUCGAGCUAGAGUCCGGAAGAGGCGAGUGGAAUUCCUGGUGUAGCGGUGAAAUGCGCAGAUAUCAGGAGGAACACCAAUGGCGAAGGCAGCUCGCUGGGACGGUACUGACGCUGAGGAGCGAAAGCAUGGGGAGCGAACAGG
rnacentral:rRNA from 1 species